rnacentral:misc_RNA from 1 species
AAUACAUGCAGCCACAUCUAGUGGGAUAGAUACCCUAACACUUCCCAUCCCAACAAGUCGUGAUCAGGAGCCAAUAAAUACCACAAUAAUAACCCGUCCGAAGGAAGGAGAGGGCCCAGCUAUCGCCGAGGAUAGCGUCGAUCCCUUUAGACGAGGAGGUCGCCGAUGGCGCGCUUGCCGGGCGCAACGAAGCCGCAGCCAGUCUUGCCCGCCUGGGUCUGCGCGCCGACACCGGAGCAGAUGCCGGAGGGGCCGGCACAGCAGCCCGACGCACAGUCGGCGGCGCUGAGACACUGGCCACCAAUGAACUGGCCGCCGUGGCCGUUGCCGACGUGGGGGACACCAGCGGGGUCGAAGGGCGGGCCGCCCUUGAACGCGCCGGCGGCCGCGGGAGCAGCGGGGGCGGGGGCAGCUGGGGCUGGGGAGGAGGAGCCCGAGACGAAGCCGCAGCCGGUCUUGCCUGCCUGGGUCUGUGCGCCGACGCCAGAGCAGAUACCGGAGGGACCCGCGCAGCAGCCAGACGCGCAGUCGGCGGCGCUGAGGCACUGGCCGCCGAUGAACUGGCCGCCGUGGCCGUUGCC